rnacentral:rRNA from 1 species
GCCAAAGACGGUAACAGCCCGGUAGUUGAAAUGGCUUUCCCUCCAGAGUGGAUCCUGAGUACGGCGGAACACGUGAAAUUCCGUCGGAAUCCGGGAGGACCAUCUCCCAAGGCUAAAUACUCCCUAGUGACCGAUAGUGAACCAGUACCGUGAGGGAAAGGUGAAAAGCACCCCGGAAGGGGAGUGAAACAGUUCCUGAAACCGUGUGCCUACAAGUAGUUAGAGCCCGUUAAUGGGUGAUAGCGUGCCUUUUGUAGAAUGAACCGGCGAGUUACGAUUUGUUGCAAGGUUAAGCGGAAAAAGCGGAGCCGUAGCGAAAGCGAGUCUGAAUAGGGCGCAUAAGUAACAGGUCGUAGACCCGAAACCAGGUGAUCUACCCAUGUCCAGGAUGAAGGUAAGGUAAUACUUACUGGAGGUCCGAACCCACGCACGUUGAAAAGUGCGGGGAUGAGGUGUGGGUAGCGGAGAAAUUCCAAUCGAACUUGGAGAUAGCUGGUUCUCUCCGAAAUAGCUUUAGGGCUAGCCUCGAGGUAAAGAGUCAUGGAGGUAGAGCACUGUUUGGACUAGGGGCCCUUCUCGGGUUACCGAAUUCAGAUAAACUCCGAAUGCCAUGUACUUAUACUCGGGAGUCAGACUGCGAGUGAUAAGAUCCGUAGUCGAAAGGGAAACAGCCCAGACCACCAGUUAAGGUCCCCAAAUAUAUGUUAAGUGGAAAAGGAUGUGGGGUUGCUUAGACAACCAGGAUGUUGGCUUAGAAGCAGCCACCAUUGAAAGAGUGCGUAAUAGCUCACUGGUCGAGUGACCCCGCGCCGAAAAUGUACCGGGGCUAAACAUAUUACCGAAACUGUGGAUGAACCUCUUUAGAGGUUCGUGGUAGGAGAGCGUUCUAAGGGCGGUGAAGUCAGACCGGAAGGACUGGUGGAGCGCUUAGAAGUGAGAAUGCCGGUAUGAGUAGCGAAAGAAGGGUGAGAAUCCCUUCCACCGAAUAUCUAAGGUUUCCUGAGGAAGGCUCGUCCGCUCAGGGUUAGUCGGGACCUAAGCCGAGGCCGAUAGGCGUAGGCGAUGGACAACAGGUAGAGAUUCCUGUACCAGUGCUAAUUGUUUAACCGAUGGGGUGACACAGAAGGAUAGGGAAUCGCACGAAUGGAAAUGUGCGUCCAAGCAGUGAGUGUGAG